CUACAGUCAAAUCAGGCCGAAAACAUUGUUUCUCAUUCGAUCAAUGAAGUUAAGCAGUAUCGAGUCCAGUAAGUACUUAGAUGGGUAACUGCUUGGGAACACUGGAUAAUG